GCCGCCAAAUGGGGCGUGGCCUUCCUUCUGGUAUAAAAGCCUCUCUGAGGGGCGGCCUUCUUUCUUUCCGGAAGCGCUUCCAGAGUUGCGAGGAGGAAUGUGAGAGGGAGGAAGAGAGAGAAAGAGCGUUAUACAGCUCGGUUGUAGGUUUUUGCUGUUUCCUCUCAGGGGAGGCUGUAUUGCGGCCUAAUAUAGUACUAAUCCUGCUUUUACUGGAAGGAUUUUUCUUUCAGAGGGAGGGAGGGAGGGAGGAGGCCUGAAGAGAGUGUAAUGAGAGUGGCCUUGGCGCAUGCGCCUUGAGGUCCGUUUCUGAGCGGGGGGAGAUUAUGAGGGAGUGAGAUAUGAGUACUAGAUAAGGAUAGGCCCUGUUCGUAAAACGAGGCACAGGACAAGCGUAACCGAAGGGAGGAUGUGCUCGCAGUUCUGAGUUUGAAGAAUGGUGAUGCUUAUUACAUAAACAACAAACUUUCCAACCUCUGAAAUUGUACAUGCCCUAAAGGGUUAGAUCAGCCAGUUCAUCAAUGGAAGAUAUGUGAAUUUUAGUGAAAAUAUUUUAGCUGUAAAAUAAAAUAAUUGAAUUGUUGAAACAAGUAUUUUGAUACCUUUACAUUAAUCCUUACAUACGUGUGAGAGUAGUUCUCACUAACUGAAUAUCCUUAAUAUUACUUGGAUAUACGAGGGUUGAAUGAAAAGUAAUGCCUCCACCUUCGCAACUCCUCAACAGAUGACGGUACUGGUAUGUGAAAGGUACUGGCUUGUUCAGUAGAUGCUCCUCUACAGUUCCAUUUUGACAGGAAGCCUUAGCAUUGAACAGUUGUGUAGUUAAAGUGAAGUAUGGAACCCUACGCAGACAGUCAGCCAGUGCGACUUAAGCAACGUGCAGUCAUUGAAUUCUUGACAGCAGAAGGUGUCGCCCCAAAGGAGAUUCAUCAGAGAAUGCAAGCUGUUUAUGGUGAUUGUGUUGAUGUGAGUACUGUGCGUCGUUGGGCGAGUAAGUUUAAAAAUGUUGAAGUGGGAACAUAUGACUUGUGUGACAAAGAAAGAGUUGGACGUCCUGUGACGGCAACCACCGAGUUUCACAAGCAAAAGGUUGACAGCUUGAUUCAGGAUGAUCGUCUUAUCACUCAGAGAGAAAUUUCAAGCAUAAUCGGCAUUUCACAAGAACGUGUGCGUCACAUUAUUGCUUUGCUUGGCUAUCGGAAGAAUGGUGCACGAUGGGUACGUUGAGAGAACUUUAAAAUGCUGGUUGCAGAAACAGUGUCAACAUCUUCCGUAACAGCUUCAGAAAACACGUGAACACCUAAUCUUUUUUUUUUUGGUGAAAAGUUCAACUUGAGUCUGUAUGUAUCCUUUUGCUUUCUGUCUUUCAUAUAAAUACUGAUGGAGAAAUA